rnacentral:rRNA from 1 species
UACGUAGGGGGCAAGCGUUGUCCGGAAUCAUUGGGCGUAAAGAGCGCGUAGGCGGUCCGGUAAGUCCGCUCUGAAAGUCAAGGGCUCAACCCUCGAAUGCCGGUGGAUACUGUCGGGCUAGAGUGCGGAAGAGGCGAGUGGAAUUCCUGGUGUAGCGGUGAAAUGCGCAGAUAUCAGGAGGAACACCAAUGGCGAAGGCAGCUCGCUGGGACGGUACUGACGCUGAGGCGCGAAAGCGUGGGGAGCAAACAGG